UCCCUGGUAGUCCAGUGGUUAGGACUCUAAGCUUCCUUUGCAGGGGCACAGGUUCAGUCCCUGGUCAGGGAA
rnacentral:tRNA from 1 species